rnacentral:lncRNA from 1 species
UUCAUAGAUUGCCAUUGCUGUUGUGUUUUGAUAAAUAAGAUCUGUUUUCUUCUCUUUCUGUGAUCUAAUAAUAUCCAUGACACACUGGUUUAGGAAGACAUACUGGUCCUCAGUUUGCACCAUUAAAGGUCGAUGCAUUCGAAGAUCGUACACCACUCCAUACACAUCCACAGUAUUCUCCAUUUCAAUCUGCUGAAUCAGGCGGUCAAUGGCAAUAAACGUACCUGUCCUC